CCUACGGGCGGCAGCAGUGAGGAAUAUUGGUCAAUGGACGAGAGUCUGAACCAGCCAAGUAGCGUGAAGGAUGACUGCCCUAUGGGUUGUAAACUUCUUUUAUAUGGGAAUAAAAUGUUCCACGUGUGGGAUUUUGUAUGUACCAUAUGAAUAAGGAUCGGCUAACUCCGUGCCAGCAGCCGCGGUAAUACGGAGGAUCCGAGCGUUAUCAGGAUUUAUUGGGUUUAAAGGGAGCGUAGGUGGAUUGUUAAGUCAGUUGUGAAAGUUUGCGGCUCAACCGUAAAAUUGCAGUUGAAACUGGCAGUCUUGAGUACAGUAGAGGUGGGCGGAAUUCGUGGUGUAGCGGUGAAAUGCUUAGAUAUCACGAAGAACUCCGAUUGCGAAGGCAGUUCACUGGACUGCAACUGACACUGAGGCUCGAAAGUGUGGGUAUCAAACAGGAUUAGAUACCCGGGUAGUC
rnacentral:rRNA from 1 species